UACAGAGGCCUCAAGCGUUGUUCGGAUUCAUUGGGCGUAAAGGGUGCGUAGGUGGCGGGGUAAGUCAGGUGUGAAAUCUCGGGGCUCAACCCCGAAACUGCACUUGAUACUGCCUUGCUCGAGUACUGGAGAGGAGAUUGGAAUUUACGGUGUAGCAGUGAAAUGCGUAGAUAUCGUAAGGAAGACCAGUGGCGAAGGCGAAUCUCUGGACAGUUACUGACACUGAGACACGAAAGCCAGGGGAGCAAACGGG
rnacentral:rRNA from 1 species